UUGAAAAUGUCUUUGAAAUGU
rnacentral:piRNA from 1 species